UACGGAGGGUGCAAGCGUUAUCCGGAUUCACUGGGCUUAAAGGGCGCGUAGGCGGGCUAGUAAGUCCGUGGUGAAAUCCCCGAGCUUAACUCGGGAACUGCCGUGGAUACUAUUAGUCUUGAAUAUCGUGGAGGUAAGCGGAAUAUGUCAUGUAGCGGUGAAAUGCUUAGAUAUGACAUAGAACACCGAUAGCGGAGGCAGCUUACUGCGCGAUUAUUGACACUGAGGCACGAAAGCGUGGGGAUCAAACAGG
rnacentral:rRNA from 1 species